GACGAACGCUGGCGGCGUGCUUAACAUAUGCAAGUCGAACGAUGAACCCGGAGCUUGCUCCGGCGGAUUAGUGGCGAACGGGUGAGUAACACGUGAGUAACCUGCCCUUGACUCUGGGAUAACUGCUAGAAAUGGUAGCUAAUACCGGAUACGACCCUCGGUGGCAUCACCAGGGGGUGGAAAGAAUUUCGGUCAAGGAUGGACUCGCGGCCUAUCAGCUAGUUGGUGAGGUAACGGCUCACCAAGGCGACGACGGGUAGCCGGCCUGAGAGGGUGACCGGCCACACUGGUACUGAGACACGGCCCAGACUCCUACGGGAGGCAGCAGUGGGGAAUAUUGCACAAUGGGCGCAAGCCUGAUGCAGCAACGCCGCGUGAGGGAUGACGGCCUUCGGGUUGUAAACCUCUUUUAGUAGGGAAGAAGCGAAAGUGACGGUACCUGCAGAAAAAGCACCGGCUAACUACGUGCCAGCCGCCGCGGUAA
rnacentral:rRNA from 1 species